rnacentral:rRNA from 1 species
GACGAACGCUGGCGGCGUGCUUAACACAUGCAAGUCGAACGCUGAAGCUCAGCUUUUGUUGGGCGGAUGAUUGGCGAACGGGUGAGUAACACGUGAGUAACCUGCCUCCUUCUUUGGGAUAACGCCCGGACACGGGUGCUAAUACUGGAUAUUCACAGGUCUUCGCAUGGGGGAUGGUGGAAAGGGAUAUUCUGGUGGGGGAUGGGCUGUCGGCCUAUCAGCUGGUUGGUGGGGUGAUGGCCUACCACGGCGUUGACGGCUAGCCGGCCUGAGAGGGUGACCUGUAAUGUCGGGACUGACACACGGCCGAGACUCCUCCGGGAGGCGGGAGUGGGGAAUAUUGCUCAAUGGGCGCAAGACUGAUGCAGCGACGCCGCGUAAGGGAUGGGGGCCUUCGGGUUGUGAUCAGCUUUAGCUCAUGGUCAAGCCGCAACUAUGGUUGUGGUGAGGGUAGUGAGUAAAGAAGCGCCGGCUAACUACGUG